rnacentral:ncRNA from 1 species
UUUAUAGCAAUGAACAAGAGGAGUAAUUUAUAAUAUCUACUAGAGAUGGAAAGUCAAUAGGCUGAAAGCUUUCCAAAGUAAAAAUAAAUGAAGUAGCUUGGGAGCUUUAUGUCGGAAAUAAUAGUAAGAUAUAAUGUUAGGUCGCAUUAAGACUUUUAAGGUAAUAGAUAAUAUUACGAAUUAAGGUGGUACCACGAGUAAAUCGUCCUUUAG